rnacentral:misc_RNA from 1 species
CAUGGUUAAACCGCCUGAAUCCAUCAGGCAUUAGCAUUACUCAAUAUCUCAAAUUGAUGAAAAAAAAUGAUCCAAUCCAAUAACGUGGACCAUAUAUGUUCAGAGGAGAAUUUUGGGACUUAUUCGAAUAUAAUCUAUCCUAUAACUACAACCUCUUCUCAAAGAAAAAAGACAAGCUCGAGAAAUCCUCAAAAGGGUUGAGAAACAACAACCUUAACGAUAUAACACAGGGAAAACGGCGAGAGAAUUGACUCUCCCUCAAGCUUAAGCAUCGUCGAGAGCAAGGACGCCAGGAAGCGUUUUUCCUUCAAGAAGCUCUAAGCUGGCACCACCACCAGUGGAGAUGUGGCUCAUCUUAUCUGCAAGCCCAACCUUCUCAACAGCCGCAACAGAGUCGCCUCCUCCAAUUAUGGUGGUAACUCCCUUCCCACUCAGCUCUGCCAACUUCUUCGCAAUUGCCUCUGUUCCCGCCGCAAACUUGUCAAACUCAAACACUCCCAUAGGUCCAUUCCAAAUAAUGGUUUGGGUAGAAUCCAAAGCUUCACCAAAACUCUUGAUAGAAUCAGGUCCAAUAUCCAACCCCAUCCAGCCAUCUGGAAUACUUGAUGCUGCCACAACCUUGCUGUCAGCAUCAGCAGCAAAUUUAUCCGCUACCACUACGUCAGUUGGAAGCAAAAGAGAAACUCCCUUGGCUUUUGCCUUCUCAAUGAGUGAGGUGGCAAGGUCAAGCUUGUCUUCUUCAACAAGUGAUUUACCCACUGCGUGACCUUGUGCCUUGUAGAAGGUAAAGAUCAUUCCUCCACCCAGGAAAAGAAGGUUAACCUUUUCCAACAAGGAUUCAAUCACUCCAAUCUUUGAAGACACCUUCGAACCACCAACAAUGGCAGCAAAUGGUCUCUUGGGAUUAGACACAGCUCCGACCAAGUAGUCAAGUUCCUUCUGCAUAAGGAAACCAGCACCAGAAGGUUUCAAGUACUUAGCAACACCCUCCGUGGAAGCGUGGGCUCUGUGAGCAGUUCCAAAAGCAUCGUUAACAUAGAGAUCCGCGAGAGAAGCCAACUUUUUGGCAAACUCAGGGUCAUUCUUCUCUUCCUCCUUGUAAAACCUCACGUUUUCAAGCAGCAAGACACCUCCCUCGGGCAAUUCAGCGACCAACUUCUCAACUUCCUCGCCAAUACAAUCAUUAGCCAUUACCACCUGAAGUCCAAGGAGCUCAGAAAGCCUGGGAACAAGAGGCUUCAAACUGUAUUUUGGUGUUACACCCUUUGGACGUCCCAAA